GAUGAACGCUGGCGGCGUGCCUAAUACAUGCAAGUCGAGCGAACAGACGAGGAGCUUGCUCCUCUGACGUUAGCGGCGGACGGGUGAGUAACACGUGGAUAACCUACCUAUAAGACUGGGAUAACUUCGGGAAACCGGAGCUAAUACCGGAUAACAUGUUGAACCGCAUGGUUCAACAGUGAAAGACGGUCUUGCUGUCACUUAUAGAUGGAUCCGCGCCGCAUUAGCUAGUUGGUAAGGUAACGGCUUACCAAGGCAACGAUGCGUAGCCGACCUGAGAGGGUGAUCGGCCACACUGGAACUGAGACACGGUCCAGACUCCUACGGGAGGCAGCAGUAGGGAAUCUUCCGCAAUGGGCGAAAGCCUGACGGAGCAACGCCGCGUGAGUGAAGAAGGUCUUCGGAUCGUAAAACUCUGUUAUUAGGGAAGAACAAAUGUGUAAGUAACUAUGCACGUCUUGACGGUACCUA
rnacentral:rRNA from 1 species